CGAUUAGCCAAGCGUCACGCGCACGAUCGGUGCCAGAUGCGAGGCACGGUUGCCUGCUCGUUUUCCUUCGUCAGCUCCUCUGUUCAUCUGUCUAAUCGUCUUCCUCCUCUUGUCUGCCGCCGCUGCCCGUGCCGCCGCGGCCGCACGGCAGUCCGGCAGCCCGGCCAUCCGGCAUCCGGGAAGGCGGCAAGUCCGCUACUUGGUCGACUGCAAGUCUGCAACGCCGUGAGCACACCAUAGAUUCAACUAUUAUGAAGAUUACCUUUCAUCUAUUUUUGAUCCAAGAACAUGGGAAAUUGUUGACAAUAGCAAAAGGGAUAUUUUAAUUGAGAAGAAACCUGUUAGACAACCAGAUCUUGAGUUCGAGAAGGACACCAUUGGUAGACACUUUUCAUAUGCUUUUUACUCCAGAAAGUUAAGUAAUGGUAAGUUUGUUGACAGAAAGUGGUUAUGUGCUGCAUUGAGAAGGAUAUCUUGGACAAUGUUGAUCCUGAUUGUGCCCUCCAAAGAAACUUUUUCUGAAGCACUAAAGUAUUAUUGUUGUCGAUGGAUUCAGUCGAAUUUGGUUCUUAUUUGAGAACCAAUCAUCACGGAUGGCAUAAUCAUGUGGUGGUAGAGUAGGGGAAUUGAAAAAGAAGAGGGUGAAUCGACACAAGGUUGUCCAUCCUGGGCAGGGAGAGGCUGUAUCGUUUAAGCAGCGGGGGCGAGUUUGCGAGGCCAUGGAGCUUGUUUUAUUUGUCAGACACUUUUAUGGUAAUUUCAGCAUAAGAGAAUGUCUGAAGUUACGUGUUGCUUACCAAGUCAAGCAAGAUACUGGAGGCCUUGAAGUCACAGUAGAUCACUGGCGGGUCGGCGUCGUGGAGAAGGCAAGGCCCUUGGCCGCACCGACAGCGAUCUUCAUACUUGUCAUCCACAGGAGGGAGCCAUUUAUACAUGAAGGAAAUAGGAUGUUUCAGGUCAGUUUCCUAGUCCACAUUGACCAAUAGUUGUAACUUGCAAGCACCAAGAAGUUGGUCGGAGGAUUAAUAUUUAAUCCAAAAUAUACAACGUUUUAGUAAAUAUCCAAUGUCUACAUU